CCAUGUGCUGGGAAAUAGUGAAAAACAAGACUGAACACUUCCCCCUAGACCUCUCAUAGUGUCCCAUGCCAGAGCAAACUGUAGCCCUGAACGACUGCCCGGCCUUUUCCAUAGGCCUCAGCACUGAAGCAGGUUGCACAAUG
rnacentral:snoRNA from 1 species